rnacentral:rRNA from 1 species
UACGUAGGGCGCAAGCGUUAUCCGGAAUUAUUGGGCGUAAAGAGCUCGUAGGCGGUUUGUCGCGUCUGCCGUGAAAGUCCGGGGCUCAACCCCGGAACUGCAUUGGAUACUGCCUUGCUAGAGUACUGGAGAGGGAACUGGAAUUUACGGUGUAGCAGUGAAAUGCGUAGAGAUCGUAAGGAAGGCCAGUGGCGAAGGCGAGUUCCUGGACAGUGACUGACGCUGAGGCACGAAGGCCAGGGGAGCAAACGGG